GGGCGCGUGGUGGAAUUGGCAGACACGAUGGACUUAGGAUCCAUUGGCGAAAGCUGUGCAGGUUCAAGUCCUGUCGCGCCCACCA
rnacentral:tRNA from 1 species